UACGUAGGGGGCAAGCGUUGUCCGGAAUUAUUGGGCGUAAAGAGCGCGUAGGCGGUCCGGUAAGUCGGUUGUGAAAGUCGGGGGCUCAACCCUCGGAUGCCGAUCGAUACUGUCGGGCUAGAGUCCGGAAGAGGCGAGUGGAAUUCCUGGUGUAGCGGUGAAAUGCGCAGAGUAUCAGGAAGAACACCCGUGGCGAAGGCGGCUCUCUGGGACGGUCACUGACGCUGAGACGCGAAAGCGUGGGGAGCGAACAGG
rnacentral:rRNA from 1 species